rnacentral:rRNA from 1 species
GGGUCAGUAGGUUGGUCGUGCCACCGGUACGUACUGGUCUCACUGAUUCCUCCUUCCUGAAGAACUGUAAUGCCAUUAAUUUGGUGUUGCGGGGAAACAGGACUGUUACUUUGAAAGAAUUAGAGUGUUUAAAGCAAGCUAACGCUUGAAUACAUUAGCAUGGAAUAAUGAAAUAGGACGAUCGAUCCUAUUUUGUUGGUUUCUAGGAUUGACGUA